rnacentral:ncRNA from 1 species
UUACUCAAUAUACACAUGCAAGUUUCCGCACCCCUGUGAAAACGCCCUUUAAUCCCCUUAAGGGAGAAGGAGCUGGUAUCAGGCACAAAAAUUUGCCCAAAACACCUAGCUACGCCACACCCACAAGGGAAUUCAGCAGUGAUUAACAUUGAAUAUAAGCAACAGCUCGAUUCAGUCAGAGUAAAGCAGAGCCGGCUAAUCUGGUGCCAGCCGCCGCGGUUACACCACGUGGCUCAAAUUUGAUCCCUAUCGGCGUAAACGCGUGAUUAAAGUCUUUAUAAACUUGAGGUUAAACUAAAAUUAGGCCGUGACACGCUUGUGACUAAGAAACCCAAAAACGAAAGUUACCCCCAAUUAAAUCAACUUGAAUUCACGACAGCUGGGGCACAAACUGGGAUUAGAUACCCCACUAUGCCCAGCCGUAAACUUUAAAUUACACCUACAUCGCCUGAGAAACUACGAGCAAAGCCUUAAACUCAAAGGACUUGACGGUACCCCAUAUCCCCCUAGAGGAGCCUGUCCUAUAAUCGAUAACCCCCGUUUAACCUCACCAUUUUUAGCCAAUCAGCCUGUAUACCUCCGUCGUCAGCUUACCACGUGAGCGAAACUCAGUGAGCUUAAUGCCUUUACACCAAUACGUCAGGUCAAGGUGCAGCAAAUGAAAUGGAAAGAGAUGGGCUACACUUUCUAAUAUAGAAAAACACGAAAGACUUUAUGAAAUCUAGUCGGAAGGCGGAUUUAGCAGUAAAAAGAAAUCAGAAUAUUCUUUUUAACACGGCACUGGGGUGUGUACACACCGCCCGUCACCU